CCGGCACGGGUGGAGUAACACGUAUCCAACCUGCCGUCUACUCUUGGCCAGCCUUCUGAAAGGAAGAUUAAUCCAGGAUGGCAUCAUGAGUUCACAUGUCCGCAUGAUUAAAGGUAUUUUCCGGUAGACGAUGGGGAUGCGUUCCAUUAGAUAGUAGGCGGGGUAACGGCCCACCUAGUCAACGAUGGAUAGGGGUUCUGAGAGGAAGGUCCCCCACAUUGGAACUGAGACACGGUCCAA
rnacentral:rRNA from 1 species